CCGGCCCUGAUCAAGACCAGCUGCUUGCAGUAGCAGCUGGUUUCAAAGGGAGCCUACAUAAACCCCUUCCUGUGGUCUGUGGAUUUUUCCCAGAGUUCCAAAGGGUCUUAUCUGUUCAGUUGGAAGGAACACAA
rnacentral:snoRNA from 1 species